rnacentral:misc_RNA from 1 species
GUCUUCGAUGGAACAAAAUUUCGCCACUUUUUAAUUGGUAACCAAGAUCAUUUUUUCUCUAUGAGCUUGUUUUUGCUUGCUAUUGUCUUGUUUUUUUUUAAUUAUUUAAAAUCAAGACUAUGCAUUUCAUAUUUUACCAUUUUUAACGAAGGCUUUACAUUAUAUAUGGCAUAUAAACAUAUGGAAAUACUCAGGCUGCGCUACCAUGCUGUGUUUGUAGUGUCACGCAAGAUAUAAUUAAUAAAUGUUUUAAGCUAAUGAACUGUAUUUCUUUCAUAUCCUUUUUUAGCAAUUAUUAGGAAGAGCUUUUAUCACGCGGGCAGUGCCCUGUAAAAAUAUACGUUCUCUCUAUACAGAACUACAAUAUCAAUGUAUACAAGACCAGUUCAUCCAUAUUCAAUAUUUUUCUUUCACCGCCAUAUACAUCUUCAUUAUUUAUCAGGUAUUCACAAGAUUCCUUAAUAUUAUACAUAUAUUUGUUUUUUAUUUUAUUUUUUUAUAAAAAUAGGAUGACACUCUUGGUUUAUACCUUUAUACAUUUCUUCCAAUCGAUAUUUAUCAAUUCGACGCUAUAUAUACAUAUAUAUACAUAUAUAUACAUAUAUAUACAUAUAUAUACAUAUAUAUACAUAUAUAUACAUAUAUAUAUAUGUAUGUAUAUAUAUAUAUAUAUAUAUAUAUAUAUAUACGUAUAUAUAUCGAUGCCUUAACAAAUUUUUUUUAAAACUGGUCUCUGCAUACAUUACAGGAUCUACAUAUAUACAGCACUGUUCAAAAUCAUCUCAAAAGCCACAAAGAGAGUAGAAAAAGGCAUGAAAUGAUAAUAUUAUUCAUUUCAAAUCCGUAUUCAGUGUACCUUGACUUCUUUUUUUAGAGUUCUUUUUGUUAUAUAGUUUUCUGCGGCACACAUUUUGCACACAUACAGCUGCGUACAUGACCAGAUGUAUUUUGAGUGUAAGUUAAUGAGCAUGUGAGC